UACGGGGGGGCAAGCGUUGUUCGGAAUUACUGGGCGUAAAGGGCUCGUAGGCGGCCAACUAAGUCAGACGUGAAAUCCCCAGGCUCAACCUGGGAACUGCGUCUGAUACUGGAUGGCUUGAAUCCGGGAGAGGGAUGCAGAAUUCCAGGUGUAGCGGUGAAAUGCGUAGAUAUCUGGAGGAACACCGGUGGCGAAGGCGGUUCUCUGGGCAUUACCUGACGCUGAGGAGCGAAAGUGUGGGGAGCGAACAGG
rnacentral:rRNA from 1 species